GCGGAUGUGUUGGAAUUGGCAGACAAGCAAGACUAAGGAUCUUGUGGGCGGUAUCGCUCGUGCGGGUUCAAGUCCCGCCAUCCGCA
rnacentral:tRNA from 1 species